UACGUAGGGUGCGAGCGUUAAUCGGAAUUACUGGGCGUAAAGCGUGCGCAGGCGGCUAUUUAAGCUUGCUGUGAAAGCCCCGGGCUUAACCUGGGAACUGCAGUGAGGACUGGAUGGCUGGAGUGUGGCAGAGGGGGGUGGAAUUCCACGUGUAGCAGUGAAAUGCGUAGAGAUGUGGAGGAACACCGAUGGCGAAGGCAGCCCCUGGGCUAACACUGACGCUCAGGCACGAAAGCGUGGGGAGCAAACAGG
rnacentral:rRNA from 1 species